AGAGUUUGAUCAUGGCUCAGAUUGAACGCUGGCGGUAGGCUUAACACAUGCAAGUCGAGCGAGAAAGUAUCUUCGGAUAUGAGUAGAGCGGCGGACGGGUGAGUAACGCGUAGGAAUCUACCUAGUAGAAGGGGAUAGCCCGGGGAAACUCGGAUUAAUACCGUAUACCUCCUAAGGGAGAAAGAGGGCCUCUCUUGAUGCUCUUGCUAUUAGAUGAGCCUGCGUAAGAUUAGCUUGUUGGUAAGGUAAUGGCUUACCAAGGCUACGAUCUUUAGCUGGUCUGAGAGGACGAUCAGCCACAUUGGGACUGAGACACGGCCCAGACUCCUACGGGAGGCAGCAGUGGGGAAUAUUGGACAAUGGGCGCAAGCCUGAUCCAGCCAUACCGCGUGUGUGAAGAAGGCCUUCGGGUUGUAAAGCACUUUAAGCAGGGAGAAAAAGUUAUAAGUUAAUACCUUAUAUCCGUGAUGUUACCUGCAGAAUAAGCACCGGCUAAUUCCGUGCCAGCAGCCGCGGUAAUACGGAAGGUGCAAGCGUUAAUCGGAAUUACUGGGCGUAAAGCGCGCGUAGGUGGUUUGUUAAGUUGGAUGUGAAAGCCCUGGGCUCAACCUAGGAACUGCAUCCAAAACUAACUCACUAGAGUACGAUAGAGGGAGGUAGAAUUCAUAGUGUAGCGGUGGAAUGCGUAGAUAUUAUGAAGAAUACCAGUGGCGAAGGCGGCCUCCUGGAUCUGUACUGACACUAAGGUGCGAAAGCGUGGGUAGCGAACAGGAUUAGAUACCCUGGUAGUCCACGCCGUAAACGAUGACAACUAGCUGUUGGGAGACAAUGUCUUUCAGUGGCGCAGCUAACGUUUUAAGUUGUCCGCCUGGGGAGUACGGCCGCAAGGCUAAAACUCAAAUGAAUUGACGGGGACCCGCACAAGCGGUGGAGCAUGUGGUUUAAUUCGAUGCAACGCGAAAAACCUUACCUACUCUUGACAUACUUGGAAGCUCUUGUAAUGAGAGUGUGCCUUUUGGAACUAAGAUACAGGUGCUGCAUGGCUGUCGUCAGCUCGUGUCGUGAGAUGUUCCGUUAAGUCGGAUAACGAGCGCAACCCUUACCUUCAAUUGCCAGCACAUUAUGGUGGGAACUUUGAAGGAACUGCCGGUGAUAAGCCGGAGGAAGGUGGGGAUGACGUCAAGUCCUCAUGGCCCUUACGGGCCGGGCUACACACGUGAUACAAUGGUAACUACAAAAGGCGGCGAAGGAGCAAUCUGGAGCAAAUCUCUAAAAGUUACCUCAGUUCGGAUUGUACUCUGCAACUCGAGUGCAUGAAGUUGGAAUCGCUAGUAAUCGUAGAUCAGCGCGCUACGGUGAAUACGUUCCCGGGUCUUGUACACACCGCCCGUCACACCAUGGGAGUUGGUUCUACCUUAAG
rnacentral:rRNA from 1 species